rnacentral:rRNA from 1 species
AACGAACGCUGGCGGCAUGCCUAACACAUGCAAGUCGAACGAGACCUUCGGGUCUAGUGGCGCACGGGUGCGUAACGCGUGGGAACCUGCCCUUAGGUUCGGAAUAACUCCCCGAAAGGGGUGCUAAUACCGGAUAAUGUCUUCGGACCAAAGAUUUAUCGCCUUUGGAUGGGCCCGCGUUGGAUUAGCUAGUUGGUAGGGUAAAAGCCUACCAAGGCGACGAUCCAUAGCUGGUCUGAGAGGAUGAUCAGCCACACUGGGACUGAGACACGGCCCAGACUCCUACGGGAGACAGCAGUGGGGAAUAUUGGACAAUGGGCGAAAGCCUGAUCCAGCAAUGCCGCGUGAGUGAUGAAGGCCUUAGGGUUGUAAAGCUCUUUUACCCGGGAUGAUAGUGACAGUACCGGGAGAAUAAGCUCCGGCUAACUCCGUG